GUUCGCGAGUAAACACGUAGUGCAUAAAAACAAAGUGAUAUACAUACAUAAUUGCUGUCAUAAAAACUGCAGUCAAAACGAAAUCCACAAAGUAGCGGCGCUUUUGCUCAGUCGCAGCAGCGCUGUGGAUCGUGCGCAGCUUAACGAAAGAAAGACGCGAGCAGCGCUGCUCUCGCAAAGCAAAAGCAAUUGCUGGCGCUCACGCUCUCUCUGAAGUGCUUGCGCUCUCUCAGCUAUAUAACUGUACUUUGAAAAAUGUGAGGCUUGCUGUGCAGUAAAUAAUAACAAACUGAUCUAAUUGCUGUCAUCAAAGAUUGCUGCUUCCUCUAGAUGCUAUCGCUGCUUGGUAGCUCAUUAGGAUAGAGACGUGAGCGGCUGCACAGGGUGCGAAGGGUGCAAACUCACAUAUUUUUUCAACACAAUUGCUGCUGCUGCUGCUGCUGUCCGUUGCAACUGCAACAAAAGAACAACAUCACACACACGAUAGCCCGAGGCGCCUGCCAAAGCGUUGGGAGCUGCUACUAAUGCCAGCUGUCCUCAUCAACCGCGUUGUCCUCACCGCGAAAGGAAGCAUGUGCAUCGCACUCCGGAAAGCAGUGUAAGCUAUUAACAAUCAAAUGAAAUGUCGGAGUUAACUGUGCUGCGAACUACAACAUCACUUAUCAGCGGCAAAAGGAACAACAAUAGCUGCGAGUCGAGCAUAAAGGGAUG